GCCGGAGUGGCGAAAUCGGUAGACGCACGGGAUUCAAAAUCCCGCGGAGAAAUCUGUGUGGGUUCGAGUCCCACCUCCGGCACCA
rnacentral:tRNA from 3 species